UAGAUGCGAGAGUAGAGCAUAUCAAUAAGCGGAGGAAAAGGAACUAACAAGGAUUCCCCUAGUAACGGCGAGUGAAGCGGGAAGAGCUCAAAUUUGAAAUCUUCAAGGGUUUCCCUUGACGAAUUGUAGUUUAAGGAAGUGUUUUCUGUUAGAGAGGUGGUAAAAGUCCCUUGGAAUAGGACAUCAUAGAGGGUGAGAAUCCCGUAUUUGACCAUUAUUUCCAACUUUGUGAUACACUUUCAAAGAGUCGGAUUGUUUGGGAAUGCAGUCCAAAAUGGGUGGUAAAUUUCAUCUAAAGCUAAAUACUGGCGAGAGACCGAUAGCGAACAAGUACCGUGAGGGAAAGAUGAAAAGAACUUUGAAAAGAGAGUUAAACAGUACGUGAAAUUGUCAAAAGGGAAGCGUUUGACACCAGUGUUGUUUUCUCGAAAAUCAAUUAAAAAUGGUGGGAUGUUGUGUUGUAUUGACUUUAUCAGCUUCUCUGCACUUUUUUCCUAUCUUUUUUAAUGCACUUUUCGUUUAACAAGUCAACAUCAAUUUCUUUUGUUGUAAAAGGGUCAUUGGAAGGUGGCUUUCUUUUCGGAGAAAGUGUUUAUAGCCUUUUAUCUCUGCAAUCGGAGAGAUUGAGGUCUGCAGCGUAGAUCCUUCGGGGUUAGAUACAUUGGUGCUAAGCUAUAGCCUUGUAUAGACAACUUGUUGACUAUGCUCAGUCAUGUAGCUUACUCGCUGAUGCUAUUUUACCUACGCUUAGGAUGUUGACGAGACUGUCGAUCUC
rnacentral:rRNA from 1 species